rnacentral:miRNA from 1 species
GUUCUGUAUAAGUUGAGCUG